rnacentral:rRNA from 1 species
GUGGGGAAUAUUGGGCAAUGGGCGAAAGCCUGACCCAGCAACGCCGCGUGAAGGAAGAAGGCUUUCGGGUUGUAAACUUCUUUUGUCAGGGACGAAAAAAAUGACGGUACCUGACGAAUAAGCCACGGCUAACUACGUGCCAGCAGCCGCGGUAAUACGUAGGUGGCAAGCGUUAUCCGGAUUUACUGGGUGUAAAGGGCGUGUAGGCGGGAAAGCAAGUCAGAUGUGAAAACUAUGGGCUCAACCCAUAGCCUGCAUUUGAAACUGUUUUUCUUGAGUACUGGAGAGGCAGAUGGAAUUCCUAGUGUAGCGGUGAAAUGCGUAGAUAUUAGGAGGAACACCAGUGGCGAAGGCGAUCUGCUGGACAGCAACUGACGCUGAGGCGCGAAAGCGUGGGGAGCAAACAGGAUUAGAAACCCUGGUAGUC